rnacentral:rRNA from 1 species
AGGGGGCAAGCGUUAUCCGGAUUUACUGGGUGUAAAGGGAGCGUAGACGGCAGCGCAAGUCUGGAGUGAAAUCCCGGGGCUCAACCCCGGAACUGCUUUGGAAACUGCGCGGCUCGAUUGCAGGAGGGGCAGGCGGAAUUCCUAGUGUAGCGGUGAAAUGCGUAGAUAUUAGGAGGAACACCAGUGGCGAAGGCGGCCUGCUGGACUGUAACUGACGUUGAGGCUCGAAAGCGUGGGGAGCAAA